rnacentral:rRNA from 1 species
CCUACGAGGUGCAGCAGUGGGGAAUAUUGCACAAUGGGGGAAACCCUGAUGCAGCGACGCCGCGGGAGUGAGGAAGUAUUUCGGUAUGUAAAGCUCUAUCAGCAGGGAAGAAAAUGACGGUACCUGACUAAGAAGCCCCGGCUAACUACGUGCCAGCAGCCGCGGUAAUACGUGGGGGGCAAACGUUAUCCGGAUUUACUGGGUGGAAAGGGAGCGUAGACGGCUAAUCAAGUCAGAAGUGAAAACCAAGGGCUCAACUUUGGGACUGCUUUUGAAACUGAGUAGCUAGAGUGCAGGAGAGGUAAGCGGAAUUCCUAGUGUAGCGGUGAAAUGCGUAGAUAUUAGGAGGAACACCAGUGGCGAAGGCGGCUUACUGGACUGUAACUGACGUUGAGGCUCGAAAGCGUGGGGAGCAAACAGGAUUAGAUACCCUUGUAGUC